rnacentral:rRNA from 1 species
UACGGAGGAUGCAAGCGUUAUCCGGAAUGAUUGGGCGUAAGCGUCCGCAGGUGGCUAUGUAAGUCUGCUGUUAAAGAGUGAGGCUCAACCUCAUAAGAGCAGUGGAAACUACAUGGCUAGAGUGCGUUCGGGGCAGAGGGAAUUCCUGGUGUAGCGGUGAAAUGCGUAGAUAUCAGGAAGAACACCGGUGGCGAAAGCGCUCUGCUAGGCCGCAACUGACACUGAGGGACGAAAGCUAGGGGAGCGAAUGGG